rnacentral:rRNA from 1 species
GAGAGCGAUCUGGAGCAAAUACCCAAAAAUAAACGUCCCAGUUCGGACUGCAGUCUGCAACUCGACUGCACGAAGCUGGAAUCGCUAGUAAUCGCGAAUCAGAAUGUCGCGGUGAGUACGUUCCCGGGUCUUGUACACACCGCCCGUCACACCAUGGGAGUCGGUAACGCCCGAAGUCAGUGACCCAACCGCAAGGAGGGAGCUGCCGAAGGCGGGACUGGUAACUGGGGUGAAGUCGUAACAAGGUAAC